CCUACGGGAGGCAGCAGUGAGGAAUAUUGGUCAAUGGACGAGAGUCUGAACCAGCCAAGUAGCGUGAAGGAUGACUGCCCUAUGGGUUGUAAACUUCUUUUAUAUGGGAAUAAAAUGUUCCACGUGUGGGAUUUUGUAUGUACCAUAUGAAUAAGGAUCGGCUAACUCCGUGCCAGCAGCCGCGGUAAUACGGAGGAUCCGAGCGUUAUCCGGAUUUAUUGGGUUUAAAGGGAGCGUAGGUGCAUUGUUAAGUCAGUUGUGAAAGUGUGCGGAUCAACCGUAAAAUUGCAGUUGAAACUGGCAGUCUUGAGUACAGUAGAGGUGGGCGGAAUUCGUGGUGUAGCGGUGAAAUGCUUAGAUAUCACGAAGAACUCCGAUUGCGAAGGCAGUUCACUGGACUGCAACUGACACUGAGGCUCGAAAGUGUGGGUAUCAAACAGGAUUAGAUACCCUAGUAGUC
rnacentral:rRNA from 1 species